CAACAGUCUUCACGGAAAACCAAGUAGUUCAGGCUACAGAAAGUUCAAUCCCCAUAAGAAGUUCUCUUUUUUCAAGCCUUUGGACACCAUCUCCGUCUGCUAGGUUUUUUGAGUUUCCCCUUUCUAAUUCUGCAAAUUACUGCACUGAAGCUACUUCCACGUUGCAGAGCCAGGGUCGCACGGCAGCUGUGCUUGGAAUGUUCUGGAGGCAAUUCCUGCUGCACCAGCUGCUACAGCCGGGAAGGAACAGCCUGCCCUCAGGAACUUUUGGGUUCCUGAAAAGCAUGAUGGUAUCCCAGCCCCCCCAAAAAAGUAUCAUUUAACCUAGAAAGAAAGAAAGAAAAAAAGGCAGGAGAAGAGGAGGAGAAUCACUUUCGGAUUAUCAUGGCAGCACCUGAAGUUUUGUCCCUUCUCUACUUUUUCUGGAGACUGCACAGAGAGUAAAUAGUUUAUGUGAAAAACAACCCUUAACUGGACCCUGCUGUCAUAUUAUAGAAUCAUUAAGGCUGGAAAAGACGUCUAAGAUUGUGAGGUUCAACCACCAAACCAUCCCCACAAUGCCCACUGACUGUGUCCCUCAGGGUCACGUCUCCACAGGCCUUGAACAUCUCCAGGAAUGGACCUCCUGGCAACAAUAGUACAAUACUCUGAUUUCAGAACAGUGUAUGUUGUACUGAGAGCCAUACCUAAAAUAUCUGUGGAUUCUAGAACAGAACGUUCAGGCCUAUUGUCCUGGGAAAACUAAAAAUGAACAAAAUCAAUUUCAUAGAUGGUUCAGAUGUUAAUGCCUACCUUGUGUCUGAGGCAAAAAAUAAACACAGAUGUACAGAUAUUAUUUAACUCAUAUGAAAAAGAAGUCAUUUUCCAACCAUGCUGCAACUGCAUUUAAUGGAAAACUCACAGGUAAUCUCCUCCUCAGUUCUCUCUCUCAAGCAAGAUGAGACAGAGGGAGCACUUCCAUAAUUUCCAUCACAUAAAUUAUCAUAGAAUCCUUAGAGUUGGAAGGGACCCUUAAAGGCCAUCUAGUCCACCUCCCCUGGAAUGAAGAGGGACACCUACAGCUACAUCAGGUUGCCCAGAGUCCUGACCAGCCUGACCUUGAGUGUCUCCAGGUAUGAGGCAUCCAUCUCUCUGGGCAACCUCUGCCAGUGCUUCAUGACCAAGAAGAGAAAGAUGAAGAAGAUGAAGAUGACAAAGAAGACAGAGAAAUAAAAGAAAAAAAAAAAAAAGAAAAAACACUUUGUUGUAGCCCAAGCUGUCUAUAAAAGAAAAAGCAGAGCUGUACAUAAAAUAAAAUGUUACAAAAAAGAGAACAAUCUGCUUUGCAUAAUUUGGCUAAGACUAGACGUAUUAAUAUAGUAAUAUAUAUUACUAUAGGCUAGAUAUAUUAAUACAGUAAUAUUUUCUGAUGGAAACUUUUCCAGAACUAUCAUAAAUCAGUGACAACAUUAAAGUGAGUAUGUCAAGAUAAUUAGGAAAAUGGAGAAUAUUAUUUCCUUAGUUCUAUUAUGCAUUUAUAUUUUAGGAUUGCAUAACUGUCUUUCUAAAUGUAAUCACCCAUGCUCUACAUCAAAUGUACAUAUAUAAGACAUAAACUAUUAACAGAUCCCCAGUUUGUUCAUGGAGUGACUGGUAUGUUAAAAAAGGGUGAUUGGAUUUACUCUUUAGAAAACAACACUCUACUUAUGGAAAAGAAAAGCAAGCCUUGGUAAGUAUCAUGCACUUUAUCUUUCAUAAUUAGUUUUGCUGUCCAUGCAUGGGCAGUUGCAUUUGGCUGUCCCACAUGCAUGCUUCAAGCUGUAGUUCAGUCUCAGCCUUGAGUUUCAGGGAUUUUGACAUGUCGUCGUUUAUCUCCCUACUUUAUGCAACAAGGAAACAUAUUUACAGCCUUCUGACCCUUUGCAUUGUGUCUCUAAGUACAACGUAUAAAUUUAUGUGCAUACCAGGAAUCCCCUUGCAUCUAGUGAAAUCCACAUGUAAUUUUCUGUGCCCAUAUUCCACCAUAUUUUUACAUGAACACAUGGCUUUUAUAACAGAUCCUGCUCAUAAUUUGAGGCCUGCCUUUUUCUGCAAUCCAGCCAUGGAAUGGAUUUUUAUUAAUAGGGCCCUAAGACUUUACACUUGACUUUGGAAAAAGAGCGGGCACUGGUGCCAAGUUUUGAACUACAUGAUCAUAAUUCGGUCUGUUGUGUCACACACAUUCAAAAAGGUAGUUCUAAAAUUCAUGUCCUCAUACGGGCC
ensembl:lncRNA